rnacentral:rRNA from 1 species
UACGAAGGUGGCAAGCGUUGUUCGGAUUUACUGGGCGUAAAGGGCGCGUAGGCGGCAAAUUAAGUCAGCUGUGAAAUCUCCGAGCUUAACUCGGAACGGUCAGCUGAUACUGAUCUGCUAGAGUGCGGAAGGGGCAAUCGGAAUUCUUGGUGUAGCGGUGAAAUGCGUAGAUAUCAAGAGGAACACCUGAGGUGAAGACGGGUUGCUGGGCCGACACUGACGCUGAGUGCGCGAAAGCCAGGGGAGCAAACGGG